GUCGAGCGGUAACAGGUUAAGCUGACGAGUGGCGAACGGGUGAGUAAUGUAUCGGAACGUGCCCAGUCGUGGGGGAUAACUGCUCGAAAGAGCAGCUAAUACCGCAUACGACCUGAGGGUGAAAGCGGGGGAUCGCAAGACCUCGCGCGAUUGGAGCGGCCGAUAUCAGAUUAGGUAGUUGGUGAGGUAAAGGCUCACCAAGCCGACGAUCUGUAGCUGGUCUGAGAGGACGACCAGCCACACUGGGACUGAGACACGGCCCAGACUCCUACGGGAGGCAGCAGUGGGGAAUUUUGGACAAUGGGCGCAAGCCUGAUCCAGCCAUGCCGCGUGCGGGAAGAAGGCCUUCGGGUUGUAAACCGCUUUUGUCAGGGAAGAAAAGGUUCUGGCUAAUACCUGGGACUCAUGACGGUACCUGAAGAAUAAGCACCGGCUAACUACGUGCCAGCAGCCGCGGUAAUACGUAGGGUGCAAGCGUUAAUCGGAAUUACUGGGCGUAAAGCGUGCGCAGGCGGUUAUGCAAGACAGAGGUGAAAUCCCCGGGCUCAACCUGGGAACUGCCUUUGUGACUGCAUGGCUAGAGUACGGUAGAGGGGGAUGGAAUUCCGCGUGUAGCAGUGAAAUGCGUAGAUAUGCGGAGGGACACCGAUGGCGAAG
rnacentral:rRNA from 1 species